CGGUGAGCGCGAAACAGAGGAUCCAGGACAGACAGAGGGCCAGCAGCACCUGCGGAGCAGCCACCUUCAGCGGCCAGCCCUGCCCCUUCCCCUGAGGGUGGCUUUGGGAAGAUUCCCAGUCCUGCUAGUGAAGGGAGGCGUCUGCUGUGCCCUGGAUAAACUACAGCGUUGAAGGAACAGGCUGGAAAUGGAAGCAGAAAAUAACCUGUGGGAGAGACUUGUGGCAAAUUGUGGCAGAAAUGCAACACACCAGGGACACCAAAAUCUUUAAAAGCUUGAGGCUCUACAACCCUGAAUCAGGUCCAACAACCUUGGACUACAUGCUAAAGAGAUAUUAAAGGAAGAAGGCCCUGGACAAACAGGUUUGGUACGAGAGAGGUAAACAGGACCCACAGAGGGGAAUCUACCAGGAAGGUGGUAACGCAAAGACACCUCAUGUGCGGAAGAGUCGUGGUUAGGAAUGUGAAGAGAGGAUGUGUGGCUCUGAGGGAAAGGGCUCCAAGGACACAGUUUCCAGACUCCACAGUUCUUCCCAGCCCAUCUCUUGAAUCAAAGGCUGCCAUUUUACCCAAGCUGACUUUAGCAGCCCGCAUUGCACAAGAAGGACUUGAUGGUUUGAAAAAUCAAAAAGAUCCAGAGCUGAACAUGUGACUUAAGCUGGGCCAAUCAGCUCUUCACUGGAAUUUUAAAAUGUGAGACUAGCUAAACAGUACCCUCUUACUUAUGAGUGCACCUAACAGAUCAUAGGUGCUGGAGAUGGAAGUUGAACCUGGCUUGGGCUCUGCUCCUGCUCCACACCAACUUUAUGACCACCUCCCCAGCAAGAGACCAAGACCUUGUACACAAAUACCCCAGCAGGCAAAGGUGGGUCUCAGAAUGUACUAGUCCAUCAGGACAGAGACCUGUACCACCCCAUGCUAGAGCAGGACAGCAAGAGAGCAGGUUCUGUUUGCAUUACUUGGAAGAGGCCUGGGCCCCAAAAGAAGAUUGAAUCAGCCACCUGGGGAGAGAGGGGCCCCAGUCCCUCCAGCCACAUGGAUGACAACAGCGGAGGACAGAGAUGGCAGUGGAGUGAAUGGCCAGGUCUUCUUUAAAGAGCAGUUCCAGCUCUGGUCACCACAACAGCCACAUCCCAAAGGGACAGUCCUUUAAUAGUCCUUGCUGUUGCUCCUUUGUCCCCUUGGGAUACUUGACAUGAGAAGUUCAGUCCUUCAUGGCCUGUGGCAAAUGUGUCUUUGACUCACUGUCAGCUAGAUCAUGACAGGCACAAUAUCCUCCAGGCCCAGAACCCACAGUGUUCAUUCCCUGUCUCAUACCAUGUCCAGCAACACUGGCUAACUAAACCAAUAACUACACCAACCAGAAGGGGCAACUCCCUCUUGUUAUCCAGUAAAUAUCUUGAUCUUAGAGAACCCAGGGCAGUUGGUGGAAUCUGAAUCAGACAGAAUCUACAGCUUGUAGAGGUUGCUUCAAGGAAGAUACUUGACCUAAUACAACUCUGACCUCCCAAGGGCCUUGCCCAACUGAAGAGGACAUUUAACCAACUCAUUCAAAAGAACAAGGGACCAGUCAGCUCAGCGUGAGGAAGAAUCCUUUUCUAACACCCAUUCCCCUCCUCUAGAGAGAAAGG